CGUAGGUAACCUGCCUGGUAGCGGGGGAUAACUAUUGGAAACGAUAGCUAAUACCGCAUAAGAGUAGAUGUUGCAUGACAUUUGCUUAAAAGGUGCAAUUGCAUCACUACCAGAUGGACCUGCGUUGUAUUAGCUAGUUGGUGGGGUAACGGCUCACCAAGGCAACGAUACAUAGCCGACCUGAGAGGGUGAUCGGCCACACUGGGACUGAGACACGGCCCAG
rnacentral:rRNA from 1 species